rnacentral:tRNA from 1 species
GCAAGUUCGAUAUGGGGUAGUGGUUAACCUAACGGAUUUUCACUCCGUGGCCCCGGGUUCGAUUCCCGGUAUCGAAGUUC